rnacentral:rRNA from 1 species
AGUGAACGCUGGCGGUAGGCCUAACACAUGCAAGUCGAACGGCAGCACAGUAAGAGCUUGCUCUUAUGGGUGGCGAGUGGCGGACGGGUGAGGAAUACAUCGGAAUCUACUUUUUCGUGGGGGAUAACGUAGGGAAACUUACGCUAAUACCGCAUACGACCUACGGGUGAAAGCAGGGGAUCUUCGGACCUUGCGCGAUUGAAUGAGCCGAUGUCGGAUUAGCUAGUUGGCGGGGUAAAGGCCCACCAAGGCGACGAUCCGUAGCUGGUCUGAGAGGAUGAUCAGCCACACUGGAACUGAGACACAGUCCAGACUCCUACGGGAGGCAGCAGUGGGGAAUAUUGGACAAUGGGCGCAAGCCUGAUCCAGCCAUACCGCGUGGGUGAAGAAGGCCUUCGGGUUGUAAAGCCCUUUUGUUGGGAAAGAAAAGCAGCAGGUUAAUACCCCGCUGUUCUGACGGUACCCAAAGAAUAAGCACCGGCUAACUUCGUG